rnacentral:rRNA from 1 species
CAUGCAAGUCGAGGGGCAGCGGGAGCGAAGCUUUGCUUUGCUUGCCGGCGACCGGCGCACGGGUGAGUAACACGUAUGCGACCUGCCCCUACAGGGGUAUAACCCGUAGAAAUGCGGACUAAUCCCCCAUAGUCCCGUUGGCUGCAUGGCCAUCGGGGAAAGGUCAGCCGGUAGGGGAUGGGCAUGCGGCGCAUUAGCUAGUUUGGCGGGGCAACGGCCCACCAAGGCGACGAUGCGUAGGGGUUCUGAGAGGAAGGUCCCCCACACUGGUACUGAGACACGGACCAGACUCCUACGGGAGGCAGCAGUGAGGAAUAUUGGUCAAUGGGCGCAGGCCUGAACCAGCCAAGUCGCGUGAGGGAAGACGGUCCUACGGAUUGUAAACCUCUUUUGUCGGGGAGUAACGUGCGGGACGCGUCCCGUAUUGAGAGUACCCGAAGAAAAAGCAUCGGCUAACUCCGUG